rfam:Paenibacillus sp. TI45-13ar contig00086, whole genome shotgun sequence.
GGGUAAUGUCUCCUGCACCCAUAUCACUGGAGAUACUCGGUCAUGCUGUGGGCUAUGUAAGUAGCCUUAGACGUUUAUCGUCAAGGGUAUGAUGGUGAGGACGGGUUAAAUGCCCG